AACGCUGGCGGCGUGCCUAAUACAUUCAAGUCGAGCGAACAGACGAGGAGCUUGCUCCUCUGACGUUAGCGGCGGACGGGUGAGUAACACGUGGAUAACCUACCUAUAAGACUGGGAUAACUUCGGGAAACCGGAGCUAAUACCGGAUAAUAUAUUGAACCGCAUGGUUCAAUAGUGAAAGACGGUUUUGCUGUCACUUAUAGAUGGAUCCGCGCCGCAUUAGCUAGUUGGUAAGGUAACGGCUUACCAAGGCAACGAUGCGUAGCCGACCUGAGAGGGUGAUCGGCCACACUGGAACUGAGACACGGUCCAGACUCCUACGGGAGGCAGCAGUAGGGAAUCUUCCGCAAUGGGCGAAAGCCUGACGGAGCAACGCCGCGUGAGUGAUGAAGGUCUUCGGAUCGUAAAACUCUGUUAUUAGGGAAGAACAAAUGUGUAAGUAACUAUGCACGUCUUGACGGUACCUAAUCAGAAAGCCACGGCUAACUACGUG
rnacentral:rRNA from 1 species